CAGUAGCCGCGGUAAUACGAAGGGUGCAAGCGUUACUCGGAAUUACUGGGCGUAAAGCGUGCGUAGGUGGUGGUUUAAGUCCGUUGUGAAAGCCCUGGGCUCAACCUGGGAAUUGCAGUGGAUACUGGGUCACUAGAGUGUGGUAGAGGAUAGUGGAAUUUCCGGUGUAGCAGUGAAAUGCGUAGAGAUCGGGAGGAACAUCAGUGGCGAAGGCGGCCAUCUGGGACAACACUGACGCUGAGGCACGAAAGCGUGGGGAGCAAACAGGAUUAGAUACCCGCGUAGUCCCUGUCUCUUAUAC
rnacentral:rRNA from 1 species